CUUGGUCAUUUAGAGGAAGUAAAAGUCGUAACAAGGUUUCCGUAGGUGAACCUGCGGAAGGAUCAUUAUCGAAAUAAACCUGAUGAGUUGCUGCUGGCUCUCUAGAGAGCAAGUGCACGCUUAUCAUCUUUAUAUUUCCACCCGUGAACCUUUUGUAGACCUGAAUAUAUAUCUCUGAAAAUGCUCCUUGGCAUGUUUGGGUUUUGAGGAUUGAUUCUUUCUAGUGCCUUUCCUUACAUUUUCGGGUCUAUGUUUUCCACAUACCCCAUGUAUGUUUAUAGAGUGUAAUAAGUGGGCCUUAGUUGCCUAUAAAACUUAUACAACUUUCAGCAACGGAUCUCUUGGCUCUCGCAUCGAUGAAGAACGCAGCGAAAUGCGAUAAGUAAUGUGAAUUGCAGAAUUCAGUGAAUCAUCGAAUCUUUGAACGCAUCUUGCGCUCCUUGGUAUUCCGAGGAGCAUGCCUGUUUGAGUGUCAUUAAUAUAUCAACCCCUUCAGCCUUUUCUUGCCUGUUGGGUGUUGGACAAUGGGGGGUUUUCUUUUGCUGGACUCCUUUCUCGAGGUCAGCUCCCCUAAAAUGCAUUAGCAAAACAAUUUGUCUACUGCUCAUUGGUGUGAUAACUAUCUACGCUAUUGACAGUGAAGCAUGGUUUAGCUUCUAACAGUCCAUUGACUUGGACAAAAAACUUUUUCAUUAAUGUGACCUCAAAUCAGGUAGGACUACCCGCUGAACUUAAGCAUAUCAAUAA
rnacentral:rRNA from 1 species